rnacentral:rRNA from 1 species
CUACGGGAUGCUCCAGUCGAGAAUCUUCCGCAAUGCGCGAAAGCGUGACGGAGCAAUGCCGCGUGGUGGAUGAAGGCCUUAGGGUUGUAAACACCUGUCACAUGGGACGAAUUUUGACGGUACCAUGAGAGGAAGCCACGGCUAACUACGUGCCAGCAGCCGCGGUAAUACGUAGGUGGCGAGCGUUGUUCGGAUUUAUUGGGCGUAAAGGGUCCGCAGGGGGUUUGCUAAGUCUGAUGUGAAAUCCCAAGGCUCAACCUUGGAACUGCAUUGGAAACUGGUGAACUAGAGUAUCGGAGAGGUAAAUGGAAUUCCUGGUGUAGCGGUGGAAUGCGUAGAUAUCAGGAAGAACAGCGAGAGCGAAGGCAAUUUACUGGACGAUCACUGACCCUCAGGGACGAAAGCGUAGGUAGCGAACAGGAUUAGAUACCCCUGUAGUC